GACGAACGCUGGCGGCGUGCUUAACACAUGCAAGUCGAGCGGUAAGGCCCUUUCGGGGGUACACGAGCGGCGAACGGGUGAGUAACACGUGGGUGACCUGCCCUCAGCUCUGGGAUACGCCUGGGAAACCGGGUCUAAUACUGGAUAUGCUCCAUGACGCAUGUUGUGGGGUGGAAAGCCUUGUGCGGCUGAGGAUGGGCCCGCGGCCUAUCAGCUUGUUGGUGGGGUGAUGGCCUACCAAGGCGACGACGGGUAGCCGGCCUGAGAGGGCGACCGGCCACACUGGGACUGAGACACGGCCCAGACUCCUACGGGAGGCAGCAGUGGGGAAUCUUGCGCAAUGGGCGAAAGCCUGACGCAGCGACGCCGCGU
rnacentral:rRNA from 1 species